UACAGAGGGUGCAAGCGUUGUUCGGAAUUACUGGGCGUAAAGCGCGUGUAGGCGGCGGCGUAAGUCGGGUGUGAAAUCCCUCAGCUCAACUGAGGAAGUGCACUCGAUACUGUGUCGCUUGAAUGUCGGAGGGGAUGGCGGAAUUCCCGGUGUAGAGGUGAAAUUCGUAGAUAUUCGCAAGAACACCAGUGGCGAAGGCGGCUCACUGGCCCGAUACCUGACGCUGAUGCACGAAAGCGUGGGGAGCAAACAGG
rnacentral:rRNA from 1 species